CCCUUAGAUGUUCUGGGCUGCACGCGUGCUACACUGAUAUUGCCAAUAUGUCAUUCUUAUCCGAAGUGGAUUGGGUAAUCAAGUAAUGAAAUUUCAUGCUUGGAAUCGGUAAUUGCAAUUUUAUCGUGAACGAGGAAUUCCUAGUAAGCACUAGUCAUCAGCUAAUGUUGAUUAUGUCCCUGCCCUUUGUACACACCGCCCGUCGCUACUACUGAUUGGGUGUUCAAGUGAGAUGCUUAGACCCUUGUUGCAUGGUUCAUUAUUGUGCUCCGAAAGGAAAAAGUUUCAAGCUUGAGUGUCUAGAGGAAGUAAAAGUCGUAACA
rnacentral:rRNA from 1 species